CCUACGGGAGGCAGCAGUGGGGAAUAUUGCACAAUGGGGGAAACCCUGAUGCAGCGACGCCGCGUGAGUGAAGAAGUAAUUCGGUACGUAAAGCUCUAUCAGCAGGGAAGAAAAACUGACCUUACGGUCAGCAGACGGUACCUGAGUAAGAAGCCCCGGCUAACUACGUGCGAGCAGCCGCGGGAAUACGGAGGGGGCAAGAGUUAUACGGAUUUACUGGUGGUAAAGGGAGCGUAGACGGUGAGCCAAGUCUGGAGUGAAAUGCCGCAGCUUAACUGCGGAACUGCAUUGGAAACUGGCGAUCUAGAGUACAGGAGAGGUAGGCGGAAUUCGUGGUGUAGCGGUGAAAUGCUUAGAUAUUAGGAGGAACUCCGAUGGCGAAGGCAGCUUACUGGACCGUAACUGACGUUGAGGCUCGAAAGCGUGGGGAGCAAACAGGAUUAGAUACCCUUGUAGUC
rnacentral:rRNA from 1 species